GGGCAUCUGGUGUAGUUGGUUAUCACGCUCGCUUAGCAUUUUCUCUCUGAAGUUGUCUGCGAGAGGUGAGCGGUUCAAUUCCGCUGUUGUCCA